rnacentral:rRNA from 1 species
AUUGAACGCUGGCGGUAUGCCUAACACAUGCAAGUCGAACGAGGGUAGCAAUACUCUAGUGGCGGACGGGUGAGGAAUACGUAGGAAUUUGCCCUUAAGUGGGGGAUAACCCGGGGAAACCCGGAUUAAUACCGCAUGAUCUUUUCGAAGCAAAGCCGGGGACCGCAAGGCCUGGCGCUUUUGGAGAAGCCUACGUCGGAUUAGCUAGUUGGUGAGGUAAUGGCUCACCAAGGCUGCGAUCCGUAACUGGUCUGAGAGGAUGAUCAGUCACAUCGGAACUGAGACACGGUCCGAACUCCUACGGGAGGCAGCAGUGGGGAAUAUUGGACAAUGGGCGAAAGCCUGAUCCAGCAAUACCGCGUGUGUGAAGAAGGCCUUCGGGUUGUAAAGCACUUUAGGUCGGAAAGAAAAAACUUGAGUUAAUACCUUAAGUCUUGACGGUACCGACAGAAUAAGCACCGGCUAACUCUGUGCCAGCAGCCGCGGUAAUACAGAGGGUGCAGGCGUUAAUCGGAUUUACUGGGCGUAAAGCGUGCGUAGGUGGCUGUUUAAGUCGGAUGUGAAAGUCCUGGGCUUAACCUGGGAACUGCAUUCGAUACUGGAUAGCUAGAGAUCGGUAGAGGGCAGCGGAAUUCCGGGUGUAGCGGUGAAAUGCGUAGAUAUCCGGAGGAACACCGAUGGCGAAGGCAACUGCCUGGGCCUGAUCUGACACUGAGGCACGAAAGCGUGGGUAGCAAACAGG